rnacentral:misc_RNA from 1 species
GUAGGUGAACCUGCGGAAGGAUCAUUAACACGUGAUACUCACGUAUUAAAACCCACCGAGAAUUUGUUUUCUUACCUAUUGUUGAUUGUAUAUAGAUUGACUGAGGGAGUGCUAUUGGCCGCUCUUGUCUCUGAAAGGAGACAUUAUACGCCAUAACUCACCAAUCGUUCUAGGUCCGCCCUGGAGUGUGCACCAACAAAUAGAUGAUGCAAUUAUGACUGCUUAUUAAGCCUGUAGCAUAGCUUGCAGC